CUUUGCUGAACAUUUUUGCUGUUUACAAUUUAUCUCUAUCUAUAAUAAUAUUCAAGAUAAUAACCAAAAACAGCAAAAUUUCCUUAAAAUUACCAAUUCAGGGGCAGCAACCUAUCAACGGGUUGUCCGAUUCAUCUAAAAAAUUCAGGGCAGAUAGAUCUUGACCUGAUAAACAAUUUUACCUUGUCAGAUUUGCUCUAAAUGCUUUGGUUUUUGAGUGAUAAGCCAAAAACUGCAUUUUACCCCUAUGUUCUAUUUUUAGCCAUGGCAGCCAUCUUGG
rnacentral:lncRNA from 1 species